GAUGGAUUUUGGGUGAUGCACACAGCUUACUUCAGCAAGUGUUUGAAAGAAAGAGGGGCAGCAACACGUUAAUAGGUGAGUGAGUCACGGACAAGAAAGCACAUGGGCAGACCAAGCAAGAUUAUUCAUUUAGUGGAAGAGAAAAGUGUUGAUGAUGGGAGGACUGUACACUCGGGAUACACGCUCAUUUAAACUUUCUUUUAGAAAAGCAAUUUUUUUUCUUUUGAAGCACAUGUUUACGGUGGAGGAUGCAUCAUUCCAACAGCACAUUAUUGGAUAAAGUGCGUGUCUCGGCCUGGGCAAAAGAGAGUUGCCACCUUGUCACGGAAAGCGUGUGUGCACGUUGCUUGAGAUGGAGUGCACAAGUGGUGGAGAGGUGCGGAUGUUGAAAUGCUGAAGCACGAGAUUCAAAGGGCAGUGGUGUCAUGUUUGUGAGGUGCUCCAUUGGCUUUGAUUCGCGGCCUGGGAAAUUGCUCAAGCGGUGAAUGUUUUUAUUCAUUUUGUUGAUUAAGGAGAGCAUAUGAGUCACGUGAAAUGGUAGAAAAAAAAUUAUCUUUUCUUAUUUCUUUUGCCUUAGGAUAUUUUACAUUAUAUGUGGGAUUGCUUGUCAUCUUUUUAGCUUAAGUGUUGCAUUGGAAUAGCA
rnacentral:sRNA from 1 species